rnacentral:rRNA from 1 species
AGUGAACGCUGGCGGUAGGCCUAACACAUGCAAGUCGAACGGCAGCACAGUAAGAGCUUGCUCUUACGGGUGGCGAGUGGCGGACGGGUGAGGAAUACAUCGGAAUCUACUUUUUCGUGGGGGAUAACGUAGGGAAACUUACGCUAAUACCGCAUACGACCUACGGGUUAAAGCAGGGGAUCUUCGGACCUUGCGCGUUUGAAUGAGCCGAUGUCGGAUUAGCUAGUUGGCGGGGUAAAGGCCCACCAAGGCGACGAUCCGUAGCUGGUCUGAGAGGAUGAUCAGCCACACUGGAACUGAGACACGGUCCAGACUCCUACGGGAGGCAGCAGUGGGGAAUAUUGGACAAUGGGCGCAAGCCUGAUCCAGCCAUACCGCGUGGGUGAAGAAGGCCUUCGGGUUGUAAAGCCCUUUUGUUGGGAAAGAAAAGCAGCAGGUUAAUACCCCGCUGUUCUGACGGUACCCAAAGAAUAAGCACCGGCUAACUUCGUG